rnacentral:rRNA from 1 species
ACGGGUGAGUAAUGUCUGGGGAUCUGCCCGAUAGAGGGGGAUAACCACUGGAAACGGUGGCUAAUACCGCAUAACGCCGCAAGACCAAAGAGGGGGACCUUGGGGCCUCUCACUAUCGGAUGAACCCAGAUGGGAUUAGCUAGUAGGCGGGGUAACGGCCCACCUAGGCGACGAUCCCUAGCUGGUCUGAGAGGAUGACCAGCCACACUGGAACUGAGACACGGUCCAGACUCCUACGGGAGGCAGCAGUGGGGAAUGUUGCACAAUGGGCGCAAGCCUGAUGCAGCCAUGUCGCGUGUAUGAAGAAGGCCUUCGGGUUGUAAAGUACUUUCAGCGGGGAGGAAGGCGAUGUGGUUAAUAACCGCGUCGAUUGACGUUACCCGCAGAAGAAGCACCGGCUAACUCCGUGCCAGCAGCCGCGGUAAUACGGAGGGUGCAAGCGUUAAUCGGGAAUUACUGGGCGUAAAGCGCACGCAGGCGGUCUGUUAAGUCAGAUGUGAAAUCCCCGGGCUUAACCUGGGAACUGCAUUUGAAACUGGCAGGUUGGAGUC